AGACCCAUUUCUUAUGAGGCCGGUCAUCGGAAUGGGUACAAUUUAAACCCUUUAACGAGUAUCUAUGAGAGGGCAAGUCUGGUGCCAGCAGCCGCGGUAAUUCCAGCUCUCAAAAUGCAUAGAAUUAUUGCUGCGGUUAAAAAGCUCGUAGUUGGAUCUGUGCUAGCCGUCCGGUGCACACUUUGUGUGUUACUGGUUCGGUUGGCUUUUCUGCCGGUCUCUCCCCGGCGUUGGCCUUUACCGGUCGGCGUCGGUGGGCUGGCGAGUUUACUUUGAACAAAUCAGAGUGCUUCAAACAGGCGUUUCGCUUGAAUGUUCGUGCAUGGAAUAAUAGAAGAGGAUUUCGGUCCGAUUUUAUUGGUUUUGCUGACCGAGAUAAUGGUUAACAGAGACAAACGGGGCCAUUCGUAUUGCUACGUGAGAGGUGAAAUUCUUGGACCGUAGCAAGACGGACUACAGCGAAAGCAUUUGGCAAGAAUGUCUUCAUUAAUCAAGAACGAAAGUCAGAGGUUCGAAGGCGAUCAGAUACCGCCCUAGUUCUGACCGUAAACGAUGCCAACUAGCGAUCCGCCGGCGGAUUUAUUCGCCCUGGUGGGGAGCUUCCCGGAAACGAAAGUCUUCCGGUUCCGGGGGAAGUAUGGUGCAAAGCUGAAACUUAAGGAAUUGACGGAAGGGCACCACCAGGAGUGGAGCCUGCGGCUUAAUUUGACUCAACACGGGGAAACUCACCCGGCCCGGACACCGUAAGGAUUGACAGAUUGAUAGCUUUUUCAUGAUUCGGUGGAUGGUGGUGCAUGGCCGUUCUUAGUUCGUGGAGCGAUUUGUCUGGUUUAUUCCGAUAACGAGCGAGACUCUAGCCUACUAAAUAGUUGGCUCAUUGCUUCUGUGGGCACAACUUCUUAGAGGGAUUUUCGGUGUUCAGCCGCACGAAAUUGAGCAAUAACAGGUCUGUGAUGCCCUUAGAUGUCCGGGGCUGCACGCGCGCUACACUGGCAAAAUCAGCGUGCUUGUCCUUCCCCGAAAGGGGUUGGUAAACCGGUGAAAAUUUGCCGUGAUUGGGAUCGGACAUUGCAAUUAUUGUCCGUGAACGAGGAAUUCCUUGUAGGGGCGAGUCAUCAACUCGCUCUGAAUACGUCCCUGCCCUUUGUACACACCGCCCGUCGCUGCCCGGGACUGAGCCAUUUCGAGAAAUUCGGGGACGGUUAGUGUUCCGGCUUCGGUCGGUAUGCAGACUGGAACCGAUUUAAUCGCAGUGGCUUGAACCGGGCAAAAGUCGUAACAAGGUAGCUGUAGGUGAACCUGCUGCUG
rnacentral:rRNA from 2 species